GUGAGUUGACUUUGGGAUACAGGUUUGAACUCUAGAAUUUAGCAUACCAGCUGGGUCUAGAGACAGAAAUUUGGGUGUCGUCAGUCCAUAAAUAUUUAAAGCCACGGUACUAGAUAAAAUCUUGUGGGAAUGGGCAUACAUAGAAUAGGGAAGGGUUUAGCACUCAGAUAAAUGAGAAGGUGCUAGCAAAGGAUACUGAGUUGGAGAAAAUCAAGAAAGUGUGGUGGCUUGAAGUCAAGUGAAGAAAGAAUUUUGAGGAGGCAGAUGUGAUAAAGUGCCAGGUGGUGCUCGUAGGUGAAGCACGCUGGGGACUAAACAUUGCUCAUUGGAUUUAGCAGAGGGAAGCGACCUUGACAAGAGCAGUUUUAGUAGAGCAGUGCCAGGAAAAGCCUGGUUUAGUAAGUUCCAAAGAAAAACACACAGGAGAAUUUUUAGAGAAUUAUUUUGAGUUCUGCUGUAAAAGGAAGAUAAUCGCAUCCUAAAUUUCAAAGCAUUCUUGAGAACCUGGAGGCCUGUUGUGGUGAGCUCCUAAAACCCUUGGAAUCUUCUAAGUGAUGAGAGGGACAAAGGAGUCUUUUGUUUCAGUCCCAUCCCUCCGGCCUCUGGGAAGGUCACGGCCACAGCACGGCUGAAGAGUGAUGUAUGUCUGCACCGGGGAUCCAAACCCAUGAACCCCGGCCACUGAAGCAGAGCAUGCUGAACUUAACAACUAGGCAAUGCAACAGGCUCCCCAAUGUUUUUUGAUCAUGGACUCUGUAUCACUUUAUGCCACU
rnacentral:lncRNA from 1 species